AAACUGAAAGAAUCUCUGCAUCCCAGAUUUCUUCUUGGGUUUUGGUUUCUGCAGGUUUUCAAUCUCCUCUUUGAUCUGAUUGAAUGUGUCCAUCAAGGUCUUUGAAAGCAUCAUUUCCUCCUCCUCCUCCUCCUCCUUCUUCUUGAGGGUCUCUGUGAGUGAGGAGAUCUCCCCCAAAGGGAGGACUGUUCUUGCUGCCGUUCACUGCUGCCGUUCUCCUUCCAGGUUCUUGUGGUUCUCCAUCAGAGCUGGUCUCCAUGGGACUGUUGCCUCCCUCUGUGGUGUCAGUCAGCCAGGAGGUGGGAGGAAGGGAGGGAGGGAGGAGUCUUUGUCCUUCUGGACAUGUUCUUGGAUUGGGAGCAGAUCACCUUUGAUCUCUUUCAUGUGGGACUUUGUCUUGAAGCGGAUCAAACUGAAGGUGUGACUCCCAAAGCAAACGUUCUGGGAUGUUUGCUUCAGCUCUGUGCUUCUGUUCUCUGGUUGCUUCUUUGCUUUGGUUGCAGAGACUUGGAGCUCUCUCUCCAUGCAGAUCAGCAGCUUCUAUGGAGGCAGAGGCAGCUGUGUGGGAAGUCUCUGCAGGUCCAGAAUCUUCUGAUGGAUCAGCAGCUGCUGCAGGUUCCUCUGGAUGGAAACACAUUUCUGCCGUUCAGAACA